CCUACGGGCGGCAGCAGUGGGGAAUAUUGCGCAAUGGGCGCAAGCCUGACCCAGCGACGCCGCGUGAGGGAAGAAGGCUUUCGGGUUGUAAACUUCUGUUGUCAGGGAAGAGUAGACGCCGGUACCUUACGAAUAAGCCACGGCUAACUACGUGCCAGCAGCCGCGGUAAUACGUAGGUGGCAAGCGUUGUCCGGAUUUACUGGGUGUAAAGGGCGUGUAGCCGGGUUGACAAGUCAGAUGUGAAAUCCUGCGGCUUAACCGCAGAACUGCAUUUGAAACUGUUGAGCUUGAGUACUGGAGAGGCAGACGGAAUUCCUAGUGUAGCGGUGAAAUGCGUAGAUAUUAGGAGGAACAUCAGUGGCGAAGGCGAUCUGCUGGACAGUAACUGACGGUGAGGCGCGAAAGCGUGGGGAGCAAACAGGAUUAGAUACCCUUGUAGUC
rnacentral:rRNA from 1 species